rfam:Triticum aestivum genome assembly, contig: Triticum_aestivum_CS42_TGACv1_scaffold_382706_5AL
CAAAUACUCCCUCUGUCCGUAAAUACUUGUCAUCAAAAUGGAUAAAAGGAAAUGUAUCUAGACGUAUUUUAGUUUUAAAUACAUCUCUUUUUAUCCAUUUUGAUCACAAGUAUUUUCGUAAGGAGGGAGUAUAAA